rnacentral:rRNA from 1 species
UACGUAGGAGGCAAGCGUUGUCCGGAAUUACUGGGUGUAAAGCGCGUGUAGGCGGCAGGCCAAGUCUGUGGUGAAAUCCCCCGGCUCAACCGGGGAACUGCGCUUGAUACUGCUUGGCUUGAGGUCCGGAGGGGAGAGUGGAAUUCCCGGUGGAGCGGUGAAAUGCGUAGAGAUCGGGAAGAACGCCGGCGGCGAAAGCGACUCUCUGGUCGGAUCCUGACGCUGAGGUGCGAAAGCUAGGGGAGCAAACGGG